rnacentral:rRNA from 1 species
AGUGAACGCUGGCGGUAGGCCUAACACAUGCAAGUCGAACGGCAGCACAGUACGAGCUUGCUCUUACGGGUGGCGAGUGGCGGACGGGUGAGGAAUAUAUCGGAAUCUACUUUUUCGUGGGGGUUCACGUAGCGAAACUUACGCUCAUACCGCAUCCGCCCUACGGGUGAAAGCAGGGGAUCUUCUGACCUUGCGCGGUUGAAUGAGCCGAUGUCGGAUUAGCUAGUUGGCGGGUUAAAGGCCCACCCAGUCGCCGAUCCGUAGCUGGACGGAGAGGAUGGUAGGCCACAUGGGAGCGUGGACAGGCACAAGAGGCCUGCGGGAGGCAGCAGUGGGGAAUAGUGGACAGUAGGCGGAAGCCUGGUCCAGCCAGACCGCGUGUGUGAAGAAGGCGUUCGGGUUGUAAAGACGGUUUGUGGGGAAAGAACAGCAGCAGGUUAUUACCCAGCUGUACUGACGGUACCGGGAGAAGAAGCACCGGCUAACUUCGUG